CCUUGGAGCUGAAUGAUACAUGAAACUAAGUAUACCUUAAUCUAUAAUUGAAUGAUAAUAAUUGAUGAUGAUGUGAUAGUGAAAUAUUGGUGUUAACUUUGGUUUGUUCUUUGUGAUGUUCAGGAGAUAGUGAUGUCACAGAAAAACCAGUAGACCCGAUUAAAGUUUACUCUGAGAGAUAUGCAGUUGUUCCUGAUGACAACGUCAAAAGGAUAAAUUUUGCCGAGGGGAAGAUCUGAUUCUAGAAGUAAGGAAUUUGCAGCUUGAUUUUUGAAAUAGGCUCAAAAUUGAGAUCUUGUUGGAAAUUUUUUAUUUUUUUAUUUUUUGUAAGAGCAUUUAAAUAUCCAAUGUGCUGAUUGGUGAAUUUUAGAUUUUAUUUUAUUAUUUUAUUUUUUUUAGGAUU